GUGGAUGAGGCAUGCAAGUCGAACGAAGUAAUAGGGUAACUUAUUACUUAGUGGCGGAAGGGUUAGUAAUACAUAAACAACCUGCCUUUAACCUGGGGAUAACGGCUGGAAACGGCCGCUAAUACCGAAUGAGGUAGUACGAGCGAGUGCUCGAACUAUCAAAGUGGGGGAUUUCGAGAGGGACCUUGCGGUUAGAGAGGGGUUUAUGGGAUAUCAGCUAGUUGGUGUGGUAAAGGCGCACCAAGGCUAAGACGUCUAGGCGGAUUGAGAGAUUG
rnacentral:rRNA from 1 species